ACCAUGUUGGCCAGGCUGGUUUCAAACUCCUGACCUCAAGUGAUCUGCUCGCCUCAGCCUCCCAAAGUGCUAGGAUUACAGGCGUGAGCCACCACACCCAACCACAAAACUAGAACAUUCUAAUGUAUGUACAGUUCUAGGAUUUUUUUCCUAAAUGUUACUUUUGCAUUUAUGAUGAUAUUUGAGGGUAAAUUAAAUUUAAUUUUAAAUAUGAAUUUAAAAUCUUUAAAGCUACACUGCCUUUUACUGUGAUUCCUUUUUUAGCCCACCUUUUUCUUCAGUUCAACUUAUUUUCUGUCAUCUUUUCCUCAUUUCAGUCUCCACUUUAUUAUUUCUUCCCAUCUAUACACCUGUUACUUUUGGCUCGUUAAGCUCUUUACUCAGGGUCUUGGUUCUGAGUUGGAGCGGCCUCUUAGUUUUGCAAGCAUUAGGUUUGGAAUGUAGCCCUGAAGCCUCGCUGCUGGGUCUGUGUCCAGGCCUUGGUGCACACUCACGUAUCCCCCAGCCUCUCCACCCUCUCCACCCUCCCCUCUCUGAAGUGGGCUUGCCGGGAACAAGGUCAUGCUCAUGCACACGUUGCUCUUAGGAAAGUACUUGCCACAUGACAGAUGCUCAGUAAAUGUUAGCUGUAAUUUUUAUUUUUCUAUAAAAGGAAAGGUUUUCCGUGUGGUAAUUUUUCAGCCCUACCCUGAUUGCUAGUCAAGAAAUGGUCAUUUUGUAACUAGUUUGUGCAAGGCAGGAGGUUCUGUACUGUCAGCUACCACGUGGCCUAGAAAUUCUUCCAGUUUCCGCUGUGUGGGCAUUCCUUCUCUCCCUGUUCUUUUCCCUGUUCCUCUCUUCCUCUUCUCCUUAACCUGAUGUAAAAGUGUUCUUUCAGUGGCUGGUAUUUUCCUGGUGAUUAAUACAUGCUGAGUCCUCCCCUCCCAAUAGGGAUUCACGAUAGCGGUUCUAGCUCCAGCUUGGAGAGCAUUGAUCCUGACUGUAGAGCCGGGGAGAUCACAAGGCAUGGAGCCGUGACACGUCUCAAGACAAAGCGCUGCUGAUAGUGAAGCGCCUGAGGAGGUUUUCCUUAGAUUUGGUAUUUAUUUAUUUGUUUGUUUGUUUAUUUAUUUAUUUUUUGAGACAGAGUCUCGCUGUGUUGCCCAGGCUGGAGUGCGGUGGCGCAAUCUCGGCUCACUGCAAACUCCACCUCCCGAGUUCACGCCAUUCUCCUGCCUCAGCCUCCCAAGUAGCUGGGACUACAGGUGUCCACCGCCACGCCUGGGUAAUUUUUUGUAUUUUUAUUAGAGACAGGGUUUCAC
rnacentral:lncRNA from 1 species